rnacentral:rRNA from 1 species
GAAGCCGAUGAAGGACGUUACUAACGACGAUAUGCUUUGGGGAGCUGUAAGUAAGCUUUGAUCCAGAGAUUUCCGAAUGGGGAAACCCAGCAUGAGUUAUGUCAUGUUAUCGAUAUGUGAAUACAUAGCAUAUCAGAAGGCACACCCGGAGAACUGAAACAUCUUAGUACCCGGAGGAAGAGAAAGAAAAUUCGAUUCCCUUAGUAGCGGCGAGCGAAACGGGAAGAGCCCAAACCAACAAGCUUGCUUGUUGGGGUUGUAGGACACUCUAUACGGAGUUACAAAGGACGACAUUAGACGAAUCAUCUGGAAAGAUGAAUCAAAGAAGGUAAUAAUCCUGUAGUCGAAAAUGUUGUCUCUCUUGAGUGGAUCCUGAGUACGACGGAGCACGUGAAAUUCCGUCGGAAUCUGGGAGGACCAUCUCCUAAGGCUAAAUACUCUCUAGUGACCGAUAGUGAACCAGUACCGUGAGGGAAAGGUGAAAAGCACCCCGGAAGGGGAGUGAAAUAGAACCUGAAACCGUGUGCUUACAAGUAGUCAGAGCCCGUUAAUGGGUGAUGGCGUGCCUUUUGUAGAAUGAACCGGCGAGUUACGAUUUGAUGCAAGGUUAAGCAGUAAAUGUGGAGCCGUAGCGAAAGCGAGUCUGAAUAGGGCGUUUAGUAUUUGGUCGUAGACCCGAAACCAGGUGAUCUACCCUUGGUCAGGUUGAAGUUCAGGUAACACUGAAUGGAGGACCGAACCGACUUACGUUGAAAAGUGAGCGGAUGAACUGAGGGUAGCGGAGAAAUUCCAAUCGAACCUGGAGAUAGCUGGUUCUCUCCGAAAUAGCUUUAGGGCUAGCCUCAAGUGAUGAUUAUUGGAGGUAGAGCACUGUUUGGACGAGGGGCCCCUCUCGGGUUACCGAAUUCAGACAAACUCCGAAUGCCAAUUAAUUUAACUUGGGAGUCAGAACAUGGGUGAUAAGGUCCGUGUUCGAAAGGGAAACAGCCCAGACCACCAGCUAAGGUCCCAAAAUAUAUGUUAAGUGGAAAAGGAUGUGGCGUUGCCCAGACAACUAGGAUGUUGGCUUAGAAGCAGCCAUCAUUUAAAGAGUGCGUAAUAGCUCACUAGUCGAGUGACACUGCGCCGAAAAUGUACCGGGGCUAAACAUAUUACCGAA